CUAACACAUGCAAGUCGAGCGGUAGCAUGGUUAGUAGCAAUACUAACUGAUGACGAGCGGCGGACGGGUGAGGAACACGUAGGAACCUGCCCAAGAGAGGGGGAUAACUAAGGGAAACUUUAGCUAAUACCGCAUAAUUCUCUGAGGAGAAAAGUUGCCCGUCAGGGUAGCGCUUUUGGAGGGGCCUGCGUCCGAUUAGUUAGUUGGUGAGGUAAUGGCUCACCAAGACUGUGAUCGGUAACUGGUCUGAGAGGACGACCAGUCACACUGGGACUGAGACACGGCCCAGACUCCUACGGGAGGCAGCAGUGGGGAAUCUUGGACAAUGGGGGCAACCCUGAUCCAGCGAUGCCGCGUGGGUGAAGGAGGCCUUCGGGUUGUAAAGCCCUUUAGGCUGGGAAGAAGUUUAUGGGAUGAAUAAUCCUGUAAAUUGACGGUACCAGCAGAAUAAGCACCGGCAAACUCUGUGCCAGCCGCCGCUGUAA
rnacentral:rRNA from 1 species